AUACAUUUAUGUAUUCGUUAUUUUCCUUCCUCCGAGGUUUAUUGUCGUAAAAUGUUUCUAAUCGCGCGUUAAUAAUCAAAAUAAUGUUUAUCAACAUCGUCGUCGUCGUCGUCGUCGUCGUUGUCAUCAUCGUGGUGGAAAGAAAAGGCAGAGAUAAUAUUUCGUAACGGGGUGAUAACACAGUCUGCGCUUCUUGUUAAUCCCAAACGUUGUGACUGCGAACUGCAUACAUACAUUGGUUAUCCAAAUCAACAUCGUAUUAUGCUUGUUUUAAUAAUGACAUCAGAAAGGAACGAAUAAAACGCUGAAAAAACUUGUGUCGCAAACGGUUUCUCGAUUGGUGUGAUUUUCUGUGUUCUCGUGGUCAAAGUUUCAUUGGUUAGCCGUUGGCUGUCAACUGAUUAAACAACAUUACGUUAUACUGGUGCAUCUGGCGAGUACAUAAAACGUCAUAUCGCGAAACGUAUGUUACAAACGAACAGUACAUACGCGUGAACAAUUGUAAAUUUUUAUCUUAAUUUUUAUUCAUAUUUCAUUCCCCACGGUUUUAAUCAAAAGUUAUAAACUAUCGCGAAAAAGUUUGAUAGUAAGACUUGGUCGAUGAUAAAACCUAAGAAACAGUCAACAGAACGAGGACAAAUCCACCGACUCGAGCCAGUUUCGAAUUGGUCGUAAAGAAACUGAUACAAGCAAAAAAAAAAAAAAAAAACACAACACAAAACACAAGAGGAGAGAAGAAGCGAAGACCAGCAGCAUCGAUAACAUAAAUAUACACGUGUGUGUAGUACAAAGGAUAAACAAGAAAGUAACGAAAAUACGAAGUAAGAAAAUAUAAUGGUGCUGUAGUUUUAUGAAAGAUUAGAAUCGUUGGGCCAACGUCGAGAGCGCGGAGCGUGGAACUCGUGAUAGCGUUGCGAGGCGGCGAGCAGCCGUUGGAGUAACCAACUCGUGGUACUGAGUCGGCGUCAUCGAUGACUUGAGAAGGAGAGGCGAGGAGCGGAGCGAAGGAGGCGGCACUCGUUCGCCGGAAUCGUUGCUCGAGUCCCGAGCCCAAGUCGUGGCGGCGUCAUACCGGUAGAAAACUGUGCGUGCCUGCGGUAGCAACAGCGGCAGCGAUACAACGGAGGUGUUUGUAAUCGUACUGGUUUUCGGUUUGAUUCCGUGCGAUGAGUAUCACGUGAACAAUCGGCCUGUGUGCAUCGCUCGUCGAGUGCCGCGUGUAUAAUUUAUCGCUUCGAUCGUUGUUGUUCCCCAGUCCCUCGUUUUCCUCUUCGAUUAUUUGUGAAUAUCGCGUUCCUACCGCGUUUUUAAAACUGACGUAAAACCAGCCGAAGGGGGAUAUUCCGAUUCAGUUUCCACUUGUUCUUCUUCGCUACUUCACCGUUUGCAGAACUCGUAGGAGAACAACAAAGGCUCAGUGGUUCUUGAGACGUGAAAGAAGAAAUAUACACACAUAGAAGAAAGGCAGAGAGAAAGAGCGAAAAGGAGAAAGUGAGCGAGGAAGAGAGAUAGAAAGAAAGAGAGCGAGAGAGAGAGAGGGGGGAGAGGAGAGAGAGAAAGAGAGAGAAAGUAUAGUUUAAACAAAGUUGAUAACAGAGAUAGAAAGUAGCGACGAAAAAGGCGUUAAAACGAAAAAGAAAAUACAACUAAAUACGCAUGAACACAUGAAAAAAUUUGUGCUUUUUGUUCCGCGAUUAAAAUAAUAUAUCGAAUAGAAGUUGAAGUUUGGUGAUAAAGCAGUAAAAAGAAAAACAAAAAAAAAAAAAAAAAAAGCGAAAACAAAAACCUUAACAAACAAAAACUAUAUAAAGAACGAGAUAUAAAUAAAGAAAUGGCGAUGGUAAACAUGAAUAACCUAUUGAACGGAAAAGAUUCGAGGUGGCUACAGUUGGAAGUGUGCCGAGAGUUUCAACGUAACAAAUGUACGAGGCCUGACACGGAGUGCAAAUUUGCACAUCCACCAGCCAACGUUGAGGUACAAAAUGGACGAGUCACCGCUUGCUACGACAGUAUCAAGGGUCGAUGUAACAGAGAGAAACCACCUUGCAAGUACUUCCAUCCGCCACAGCAUCUUAAAGACCAGUUACUAAUCAACGGUCGGAAUCAUCUCGCGUUGAAAAACGCCUUGAUGCAUCAGAUGGGCCUUACACCAGGACAGACCUUAGUGCCAGGCCAGGUGCCCGCUGUGCAGGAGGUGACUGCACCACCUCCUUCGUCACACCAUCAUCAUCUCCAACAGCAAAUCCAGCAACAGCUCCUCGCUACCCACGCCUUUAUGGCGACGAAUCCGUACCUGACAGGAAUGCCGCAGGUCGGUAGCACCUACAGCCCGUACUUCGCGCCUGGCCCCAUAAUGCCAGCGAUAAUGGGUCCAGCCGACCCGACGGGGGGCGUCGGAAGUCCGCUUGGCGUAGUUCCGCAGACGGUCGCCGUACCCCAGAAAAUGCCAAGGAGCGAUCGACUCGAGGUAUGUCGUGAGUUCCAGCGCGGGGCGUGCAAACGCGGCGAGACGGAGUGUCGGUUUGCGCACCCCCUGGAGACGGUGCAGGCGAACGAGGACGGCUCUGUGACGGUCUGCAUGGACGCAGUCAAGGGCCGAUGCAAUCGAGACCCCUGCCGCUAUUUCCAUCCCCCUCUGCACCUUCAAGCCCACAUUAAGGCCGCACAAUCUCGGGCUAGCAUUGCGCAGACGGCGACUGUGCAGACGAAUGUACCGGGAAUGGGCACCGUCGCAGGAGUGCCAGGAGUGCCAACGGGACUCCAGAACGCAGCUGCAGCGGCCGCUGCAGCCAAUAUGGCCGCCGUCGAACUCGGCAAGAAACGGAUGCGCGAUCCCAAUGACGACCUGCUAAUGAUGGACAUGAAAUCAGUCGGGUCAUUCUACUACGAGAAUUUUGCCUUCCCCGGAAUGGUACCGUACAAACGUCCAGCCGGCGACAAGUCGGGCAUGCCUGUGUACCAGCCCUCGGGAGCGGCGACGACCUACCAGCAGCUGAUGCAGCUACAGCAGCCAUUCGUCCCCGUCUCAUUUACUGGACACCCUCCCGGUGUGCCAAGAUUUUAAUCGUCAGUUAUGCAAUCGACCAGCCUGCAAGUUCGUCCAUCUACAUGACGGAAGCGUAGAGGUGAUCGACAACCGUGUCACGGUAUGCCGAGACGCAGCUAAGGGUGCCUGCGUACGUCCCCAGUGUAAAUAUUACCACAUACCGGUAUCUCUACCACCGGCACCCCUGAUGGCGUUCUCAGCAUCGGUAUCAUCGUCAUCGCCGUCGUCAGCAUCAUCAGCAUCAUCAGCAUCACCUGCAACAGCCUGCGGCAACACCAUUCAAACGUCAGCAAGUCGUAUAAGUAAUAAUGCUAACGUAACGUCGUCGAAUGCCGUCGUUUUCGCGGCGGCGACUAUCAACGAAAAAACGAACAGCAACGCAGCUUUAGCCCUGCAGUAGCUAUAAAAUAAUAAUCUCUUUGAAUAAAUAUUAGAAGGAAAGAAAAACCUUGAGCAAAUAUUGAAAUCGGAAUAUACAACAGAAAACAAAGAUAAUAAUGAUAAUGAUAAUAACAAUAAUAAUUAUAAUAAUAAUAAUUAUAAUAUACAAGGUUGUGUGUGUGUGUGUAUAUAUAUGCACACACACAAACACAUAUACAUAUAUAUGUGCAUACAACUUCACGUUCACAAUAGAAAAACAAACGAAUAAAAAAAUCGAAUACGUAAAAAAGUAGGAAAGACAAAUCUCAAAAAAAGGACUCUAAAAAAAAAAAAAACUUUUUACCAACAUAAAGAUGGCGAUUUUAAAGGAUAAACACGAAAUUUUAACACAGUAAGUACCAUAUGUUAUAUAGAUAUAAUGUAAUAUUAUAUACUACAAUGAUAAUAACACUGAAUCUCUCUCUAGGUUAUCAUAUAUAAAAAUAUAUAUAUAAUCUAAUUGUAUGAAUAUCAAACUGGAAUUUAAAAUGAAACGGAUAGUAAAAAUUUAAUAAUUUUAAAGCUAACAAAAAAAAGAAAAAACACCAAGCUGCACAGAUCAUUAAAUCAUAAAACUCCCUUCCCAGAUUUUAAUGACUGUAUAGGCCUAUUGUUAUGAUUGUCAUUACUAUUGUUAUUUCAAUGGUGAUUCGUAUUAUUAUUAGUAUCAUUAUUAUCAUUAUUAUAGGCAUAUUUAAAAAUAAUGUCUGAGGAAAACGCGAAAAAGAAUAAUAAAUUUGGAUAAUUGAAUAGUUAAAAUUAAAGAAUAAAAAAAGUAAAACAAAGCAGUGAAACAAGCAACCUAUACAAGAUUCGAAUCUGUGUAGAAUGGACCGUCCUAUCGCCGCAUGUUUUUACGAAAGUUCAACCCCUCUUCCCUUCUCCCAAACCCUCAUCAUUAUCCCUUAUCAAUCGCAACGAAACAACGGUCUAUACAUGGGGCCGUUUAAAUAUUACAUCACGCUUUCGGGAGGGUGUGCAAAAUUGCCGGAAAUAGCGUGACGUAAUAUUUUAAUGACCCCUAACUAAUCAUUCGUAGGUACACAUACGUAUAUACACUCGAGGGGAAAUAAGGUUUUUGUUUAUAUAUAUAAUAUAUAUAUAUAUAUAUAUACACACACCGAUGAUUGCCGAUUAUUCAUUCUUCUUUGGUUCGUUUUUGUUCGUGGUGAUAAUAUGUUGAUCUUAAUUUAUUAUUUUAACGAUAUAUUAAACGCAUAUGUAUAUGUGCAUAUUACUCGUAUAUGUAUAAUGAUGACGCGGUAUUGGAUACAUGCAUUCGUCUAUAUAUGUAUGUGGUACGUACAGACACACAAAACACAGAAACACACACACACACACACACACUCUCACACGGAGAAGAAACACAUACUGGUGCUAAAAUAAUAUCUCGUUCGAAAAUUUUUUUUUCCGGUUCUCUGAAUGAUGAAAUAUUCAAAGUUUCGAAGCAGCGCAUGUAAUGUAUAUAAUAUGAAUACGUACUCGUAGAAAAGGAUAGAAAAUGGAAAAAAAAAAUUACGAUAUAAAUAAAGGUAAAGAGAAAAAGGAAGGAGAACGACAGACGGAGCGGAGGGUGAUGAUAUGAGAAAGAAGUGAAAAAAAACAAAAAAAAAAAAAAAACUAUUGUUCCUGAUGCGUUGGUAUCAACCGUCGUACUUUAUCAUUAUCAUUACUAUAUUCUAUUUUUUCUCAUACUCUCAUAUUUUAUCGACAUCCAAUAUUAUAUCCGUUUUUUUUUUUUCGAGAAACACAUAUAUUUUUACUAUUCUUAUUAUGACAAUUCUUUUUCAUCUAUUUUUCUCGGAAACCCCCCGAUGACUAUUAAUGACUAAUUAACCAUUAUCACUAUAGAUGAUAUAAACUUGUACGAAAUAAUCUUUAGUAUUUUGUUUAUUGCUCGUACGAUUUCGUUUCACGUUUUUUUUUUUUUUUUUCCAUUUUAUCAAUUGUCUUCGUAAGUUGAAUUUUAAAUUCGUGUACCAAGUAAGGAUUUCAUAGGUAUCAUAAGUGCGAGGAUAUAUAUAUAUAUAUAAUAAUAAUAAUAUAUAUAUAUAUAUUAUUGAUAGAUAUAUAUUGUAUAUGUAUAUAUAUGUUCUUUAUACUACAAGAAAACUCUGAUUAAAUUUUCGGGUGAUUAUACACGUUAGAGAAAAAAAAAUACUUAUUCAAAAUCAUUACGUACUUUUAGUUUCUCUAAUAAUAUAUUAUAUUGUAUAUCCAAGAUAUAUGAUUAUUAUUAAGAAAAACAGAAAAAAAUUAAAUAAAAUUAAAAAUAAAUAACCUUUCAUUAUACAUGUAAUAAUUGUAUAGUAAUAUAUUAUAGGUGGUUAUUAUUAUCAUUGUUAAUAUUAUUUGAUUUUAUUAUUAUUAUUAUUAUUAUUGUUGUUGUUGUUGUUGUUGUUGUUGUUGUUGUUAUCAUUAUUGUCAUUUUUAUUAUUACGGUAUAUGUGGCAUAGACUAGCUAGGGUCCGUGCGCGGACCACGCAUUUACGAAUCAGAUGAUCCUCAUUUUUAUACUCCUAAAGUAAAGCGCGAAAAGAAAAAAAAAAAAAAAACGACUUUGCAACGGACAAAAAACGAAACGUGUAUAAAUAACAGUAAUCGUAUAAAUUAAAAAAUCUCCCACCCCAAUACUACAUAUUAUAAUGCACAUGAUGUAUAAUAAUUAGUUGAUUAAUUGGUAUGAUUAUACAUAUUUACUUACCGAGGGGUAUAAAAUUAACUAAUUGACAGACUAGUAAACUGAUCAAUCCGUUGGUCAAGUAAUACUUAUACUUUAAUAUGAUGAAUGCCGGAUUAUAAUAUUAUGAAUAACGACAACGCGGUGAUUAAUAAACUAUAUAUAUAAAUUAUUUCUCGAAUAAUAAUAGUAAUAAUAGUAAGAUAGAAGUUAUAACAAUAAAAUAUUAAUAAUAAGAAAAUUGUGAUCAAAGAGAAACGAAAUGAAAUUUUAUUAGAUACAUUUGGGCAGAAAGGAAAAGAGUGAGGCAAAGGAACUUUGAACAAACUUUUUCAGUAUUAUUUAUUGUUUUAAUUAUUUUUUUUUUUUUUUUCAAAUUUGACUUUAUAUUUAUCUUUGUUUCUUCUGUGUUUCUAAAAUUCCUCAUAAGUUAUACAAAUACAUGGACUUACGUUCUAAUUUAAAGUAGAUGUAAAGUACACAAUAUGAAGCCUUUACGAUAAUAUAUGAAAUAUUCUUUAAUAUUAAUUAGCAUUAUCAUUAUUAUUAUUAUUAUUAUUAUUUCAUCGUUGCUACUGAUUAUAAAAAUUAGAUUCUCAAUUAUUAUGUAUACAACAUUCUGUUCUAGUAUAUUUGGAUCUGUUUUUUAAAAUGAUAAUAAUAAUUGUUCCCCGUCGUGAUAAAAAGAUAUGUUACGUCGAUUUUUACACCAGUGUCUGUUUCGCAUGUUUUCGGCCUCGGAACGCAGAUGAUAAUACAUGCAUUCUCCUCGUGCCGGAGAUGAUAAAGCUGAUGAAAUCAACAUUUUUCAAAUUUGAUAAAGGAUUGACGAGAACGAUUCUCCUAAAAUUGCGAGGUGGAUCGAGGAUCGAAUAAUGGCCACCGGUGCCUGCACAGUUGUUUUUGGCUGCCGUCACCGGGAAUCGAAUUGAUAAUUCUUGUUCGCUCUCUUCGGAGGUGUAGUGUGAAUUCACCCGACGAAUAUGCGAUUGAGGAAUUAGUUUUUCAACUUGAUCCUUUGAACGGUACCAUACUUUCGAACUAGUCAUGUUGUCGUAUUAAGUUAGGUUAGAUUAGAAGUUCGUUAGUUCUGGGAAUGAACAGAAUCCAGACUAGAAAGACCUCGUUUUCGCCAAUCUUGAGAUAUAUUUUACAAUAAUUUGAUUUUUUAUUUCUUUUUUUGUUCUCUCUACAUGUCGACUCAGGAGCAGAAAGCUUGUGUACAGAAUAUUACAUACGUGACGAAGCUGUAUGACAUGCAUACAACAAUCACAAGUGAUUGAUAUUCAUUAACUAAGUAAUUGAUUAACUAACUGUCGACAUAAAAUUGAAUAAUAAAUCACUAUUAUUAAAAUAUCGUAUUAUAUCGUAUGACGCAUAUAAAUGUUCCUGUACAGCAUUUAAGAAUCAAGUAUAUACAUAUGUAUGUAUAUAUAUAUAUAUAUGUGUAUAUAUAUAUAUAUAUAUAGACAUGCUACUCUCGAUGUAAGACCUAAUACAUUUUAAGAGAAACAAAUGGUAAGGACAAGCAACCAAAGUAAAGGAAACAAUUUUUAAACAAAUAAAUAAGGAUCUUAACGGGAGUGAACGAAAUGUGGAAUUGAAACUUUGGUAUCAGUAUGGAAAGGUUUGCUACUCAAUAGUUCAACGGUAUACUGUUUAUUGUCUGUGAAAAUAACAAUACAUCAUUAUUAUGUUACAAUAAUUAUGACUAAUAUACAUAUACGGUAUGUAGUUUUACUUAACGUAAAAUUAUAUACCUACAUUUUCAAUAUACUUUCAUAUACAUUAUAUGUAUACUACAAUUAUAAAUUGUAUACACUAAAUAUUUCAAAAUUCUGUUCUCCUUUUAUUUACUUUCAACGUUUAUGGCGAGAGGUGGGAAAGGGGGAGGAGAUUUAUUCAAUUCUAAUUAUACACGAUAUCAAUACUUGCAUCGUUUUAUUAUUUGUUAUUGAUUAGGAAAUAUUUUUAAUCUUUAAUAGUAAUGUGAUAUACGUUCGCAAUAAUAACAGUAAUGAUAAUGACAUUAAUAAUAGUAAUGAUGACAAAUUGAUUGAUCGAUUAACGGCAAUGAUAAUAAUAAUAUUUAAUCACUGUAUGCAGAUUCAGAACACUUUAUGACGAUCGAAUGUCUUGCCCUUCGAUACCAAAAUGUAAAAUUGAUCGAUACAAUUAAUACAGCAAGAAACAGAAAAUCAAAUGAUCGAUUGAUUAAUCGUUGAACUUGUAUGUCCAAAACGUGAUUGCUGCGUUUAUAAAACGUUAUUCCGAUUGAAGUCUGAAACGAGAGAAGAAUACAUAUAUAUAUAUACAUACAUAUAUAUAUAUAUAUAUAUAUAUACACAUACUAUACAUAUAAGUACGUACACAUAUAGAAAGAAAAGCAUAACAAAAAUAAUAAAAUGAAAACAAAUAAGUGGAAAAAUAACAUUGAAUAAAACGUUUGAAAUUGAACAUCAAAGCGUUAAAAAAAAUAGUAAUGUUAAACCGGUGUAGGACGGAAUCAGUGACAGUUUUUCAGCCUCUCAAUUCCUUAAGCCUAACCUAACCUAACCCUAAAUUAACCCUCAUCAAUUCCACUUGAAGUCAAGGGGCUUUUUGCGAGCAGCUGGAAAUGUUUCCCAAUGUAAUUUUCAAAGAAAAAUAAACAAAUAUGUGCGUAUAACAUGCUUGUGUAUACAUGACUCAAGCCCGCGCACAAAAUUCUCGUAAUCGAAAAGUAAUAAUCGCCGAUUAAUAAUUGUCUAUUCUGUGUACACAUGAUUUGAAAAUAUACGAGAACUUGGUCUAGAAAAUUAUUACAUACGAAUGAUAAAUUUGAACCAUUCGUCAAAUAUGGAAUGCGUCUUAUUCUUUCUUACUGUUUUGAAUUAAUUUCUAUCGCUGAUUGAUCAUCAAUAUCGGGAUAAACGAUCUCUGCAUGGUACAUUCUUCAUCGAUGUUACACACAGAAGCUACGUCAAACGAUUCGCUUGAGGAAAUUGUUACGCGCUUUCAAUGAGGAGACUUGAUUCCCGCCAUAUAUCGAAAAAAUGCGCGGGCUUGCGCAUGCGCUUAAGAAACGGCGCGAAAUUUUCGCAUCCUCUUGAUUCUUUUUGCUGCGUCGUUGUUUCUGCUGCUCCAGCUGUUAAAUUGCGUAAUCAAAAAUACAUACGCGGUGUAACGGAAAUUAAUAAUUAGUUUGUAGAGGUAUAAAAUUAUACCUGGUAUCCAAAUAUCGAUGACAUGAAUACCGAUGAUAAAUUGUUCGAUAUCUAUUAACGAUGGAUGUAUGGGAAGAAAUCUGUUACGUGUUUUUCUUUCUAUUUUUCUUCAAUUUACUUAAAGUUUUCUUGCAAUUAUUAUUCUGAAUGUGUCAUGCUUAUUUAAAAGGACGUCUGCGGUAAAUAUCUUGCUUAUUACUCGACCUAAACGCGGCCAUCGUUACUGCCUAGGACCUACAUGUUAUUAAUAUAACCUAUUAAUAUAAUACACAUAGAUAUAUGGUAGCUUAACGCAAUCCUGGCAUAAUAAAAAGUUAUAACCUAGUACAUAACAAGUGUAUGAUAGCCUAUACAAAAUAUUUAAGUAUAGCUUAAUAAACUAUUUCAUCUCGCUAUAAGUAGGAAUUAGAGGUUAGUUUACUACACUGUCGAUGUUGUUCAGCUACAUUUAUUAUUAUAUCGUAUAUUAUUAUCCAUAGCAUAAUGCUUAUCGCUAUAUUUAACGUAUAUAUUUAAGCAUACAAGUGCAAGCAUCCAUGCUGAUGUUCCACAGCACCUUGCACUUCCGCUUCCUGCUGCCGAUGAGACAAUUCUGUAUGGCGCCACCAGACGGCAAAUGAUCUAACUUUAACUUAUAGUGAUAUGUUGAAAUAUUUCCAACUUUUUGCAACUUCCAAAAAUCAAAAUAGAAUCUUUUCAAAUAGCAUAUGUACCUAGUAAACCGUAUCGGAUUGAGUAAGGCGAAAAUGGAAUUGACAGAAUUGAAAUGAAAUUAAAACAAAUUCAAAAGAAUUGGUAAUUAAGUCUUUAGAAUUCGCUUCAAUUCGAGCUAAUUUCUUUUUUGGACGUACUCAAUUCCAAGCAAUUCGUUUUGGUUCACUGGGUAGAGCUGCGAUCAAUCCGGCUUCUGCUUUACAUUAUAUACUGUGGCGGGAUGCUUCACAUACACCCCCCCCCCCCCCCUCUCCUUCACCCCGGCCCCUGGCUCCAAGUGUUUAAAUUAAUCGAAAGGGAAACAAGAAAUUCCAAAAAAUGGAUUGAAAGAACGGCAAUGAGGGAAAAUAAAUAUCUCGGUGUAAUGGCAACGAUAAUAAUAAUUGGAAUGAAAAUUAGAAAAUAUAAUUCAACAAAAAGAACAAGAACAGGAAGAUGAAGAAAAAGAAGGAAAGAAAAAUUGUAUCCCUGAAGUGAAAUAAACUCUGUGUCCGCAGAAUAAAAGACAUAUACAGUAUAUAUGAUACAAAUAAAUGCACACAUAUGAAUCGGUAAUAUAUACAUACGAUGGUAUGAUAAUAACAGUAAUACUAAUGAUGCUGAUAAUAAUAAUAAUAAUAAUAAUAAUAAUAAUAAUAAUAAUAAUAAUAAUAAUAAUAAUCAGGUUUUGAACUUGUGCAAAGUAUAAUUGCAUGGAAUAGUUAUAGGUACAUAUAGUAUUAUAUAUAAGAGAGGCAGAGAGAGAGAGCGAAAGAGUUAGUACGAAAGAUAUAGAUAGACAGCUAGUUAGGUGGCGAGAGUGAGAAUGAGACAACGAGAGAAAGGGAGAGAGAGAAAGAGAGAGAGAGAGAGAAAAUCUUCCUUCGACAGCAUUUACAUAUGUUAUAUAAAUAGUUAUACAUACCGUGAACGUCUUUCGAAGUGAGUCACUUGUAGCAAUUAAUGCAUGAAGGUCUCGGAGUCGUCUCGAUUAAUUGACAAUUAGUCAAUUAGCUACUUAGUCGUUUCGAUUACCUCUACAAUUAGCCCGCUUCGUGAGAUAUUCACGCUAUACGUAUACUUAUAGCGCAUAACUGAAAAUUCACAAUCUAUAUUGAAAUUAAUACGAUCUUCUGUUAUAUAAUAUGCUAAAUAAUGAUAAAAAAAAUAAUAACAAUAAUAGUAAUAAAAACAAUAAUUACGAUGAUGACAACACCAGUUUUCUAUAAUACACUUUUUUCUUUUGUGUAUAAUAUUUGUCGAUAGUAAGUUGUAACUACGCUAAAUUAUAGCGAUCGUACAAAGCGUAAGGAAGUAAAUUUUUUUAUUACGAACACCGUAAUAUUGAUACUUAUGAUAACAAUAAUAAUAACAGCAAAAUAAUAAUAAUAAUAAUAAUAAUAAUAAUAAUAAUAAUAACGUCGGUCACACCUAUAUUGACAGUUAUAACUAUAACGAUAAAGAUAGUAAAAAAAUAUCACAAUAAUAAUAAUAAUAAUAAUAGGCAAUAAAACCGCGAUUUUGCGACAAAAUACUUACUUCGAUGAAAAAGGAUAAACCAGAAAAAGAUGUGGCUUAAGACGAAGGAAAAAGUAAGAAACGAAUAUAAGAAUUAUUAUACAAUCUCUGAAGCGAAAUAAAAAAUGUUUGUUAUUUUCAAAUGUAAUUAUUAGGUUACACGUACAUAAAAUUAACAAUAAUUCGAAAAGCGCCUAGCGAUUCCAUUCAUAGACUGUAUACAACGAUAAGAAAAUUAUAUACAUUAAUAAUCGUUUACUGUAACAACGUAUAUAAGGUAAAUUAAAGAAAGACGAGAUAACAACAAAUAAGGAUGGAAAUAAAAAAGUAAUAUAUCCUCCAAGUAACUACAACUAAUCGUGCAUAAAAAUGUAAACUCAAAGAGAAUAAAAAACAUGACAAAUCAAUUAUGUAUAUUUGAAUGAAACAUGAAAAUCAGUCACGUGCGUGGUGUAAGAGAAAUUGACACGAAACGUAAUAAGAAGCGUAGAUCCGCAUCAUGGCGCUGAAGCGAAGGUUUUCAAAUGUCAGUUACACGUCGUUCUAGCGUGAAUUAUGCGAAUACCAAUGUACAGGAAUUUCGUGCAGGUUAUCAGACUCAUAAUUUCUUACGCUGAGUUGACAUGAAGUGAAAUAUGGGAUAAAGAACAAGGUUUAUAAUUAAAUAUGCGGCCAUGAAUUUAGGGUUUAAGAUAUCUUCUGCCGCCAGAUGUCACGCUACCACAGUUUCAUUACUAAUGGAAACCUAGUACACCUAAUACACACUCAGUAUAAUAAAAUAUUACCAUAUAUAUUAUUUUUUGAACUAGAAUUUGAAAUAGAAUAUUAUACCAUAUCCAUGCCAACUUAACCUGGGUCUGACCCUUGACCUCUACGAUUUGGCUCGCGAUUUUUUACACUAUUGUUUCGACUCUCGACGGCAGUAAUUUUUUUUUUUUUUUUCAUUACGAAUUCUUCUAAUCGAUUUAAACUAUCUAAAAUUUCUUAAAACGAACGUAUUGAUUGACACAAUUUAUAAAUCUGUAAUAAUUCUGAAAAAUCAUGAGUUAGGUGUAAAAAAUGUUCAGCUUUGAGCUGAGGCGGCCGUUGUUCCCUUCUUUGUUUCGAGCUUUCUUCGAAACAAGCAUUAACAAAUAUUAGAAGGAAGAGUCAGUUUACUACGGGCGGUUGCUCUAGACAGACGUUUCCAAAAUAAUUAAUAAUUUGCAAUUUGUUUAUCUUGCAGAAUAACAAUCUCUUCGCGAAAUGUCAAAAAAAAAAAAUGUUUGAAAUUAGUGCUUUCGAGAGUUAAAACAAUCGUAUAAAACAUCGCAAGCAAAAUCGGAGAGGUCAAGGGUCAGUUGGGAUGGAAUGUCCUAUAUAUAUAUAUAUAUAUAUUUACUUGUAAGAUAAACUUAAUAAUUAUUUUAGUGGCAAGUGUGCAUCAAAUAGGGAUUUCUUAACGAGUGUAAAUUUCCGCAUGAGCCGAAGGCGAAGGUGAGCGCGAAUCUCACACGAGUCAAGAAAUCCCUAUAUGCGCACAUGCCAUGAAUCCAAUUUUCUUAUGCUACCUCCGAUCAAAAACUACAAAGUAGUCGAGUUGUUGGCGGAGGUAGCGCUGAAAUUAUAAUUAGGUAUACAUUGUAUGAUUGGAAUAUCGUCGUACAUGUGUAAAAUAAUAUUGUAGUAUAUUAUCAUAGCAUAAAUAAUACCUUUGUAUGGUGAUUAAAAAUUUCGGGAAUUGUUCCGUGACUAUGACGAAAAAUCAAAAACACUACGGUUGACAAAAUAAGAAAGCAAGACGAAAUUUGAAUCAUUUGUUAUUUCUUUCUAAUUCUUGGUAUAGUUUUUAAUUUGUUGGCAAUUCUUUUUUUUCACAUUUCUCAAUUGUAUUCAAUUUUUUAUAAUCACGAUAAAAAUGAAUUUGAAAUAUCUUCCGCAAUUAUACAUUUUAUUGUUAUAUAAUGUAUUAUUAAUAUGAAUGUACCUCAUAUACCCUUAGUAUAUACCUACGGUAAGAAUGAUUCGGAUUAUAAAUAACAUUAAGUAUAAAUCUAGUGUGACUAAACAUAUAGAAUUAUCCAUAUACAACAUAAUUGGUAAUGAGCGAUCGAUUGCUACAUCUUACUCAUGUUACUAUUAUUUAUUACGAUGAUUGCUGUUGUUGUUGCGAUUAUUAUCAAUAUUAUUACGAUGACUACUACCACCACUACACUAUUACCACUACUACUUAUACUACUACUACCUACUAUUACCACUACUACUACUACUACUACUACUACUACUACUACUACUACUACUAUUACUACUACCAUCACUACUACUGGUACUACUGUGACUACUAUUACUACUUUUACUACUACUACCUACUACUACUUAAACUAUAUAACAAAAUAUCAUCUGGCGUCCCGAGGGAGGAGAAAAGGGAAACAGAGAGGGAAAGAGAGAGAGAGAGAGAGUGAGAGAGAGAGAGAGAGAGAGAGAGAGAAAAAGCCGAAGAUAGCAGGUUAUUAUUAUACAUUUUUUUGAAAAUCGCGAAUAUUAUAUGCCGACUGCGUUUAGAAAAUCUUUUGAAAGAACUUGACAAACACGAUGAACUCUUAUAUUUUAUUAUUAUAUACAUGGCUGUUAAGGCGUGGGAAAUGAACGGAAAAAAACUGAUUGAAAUGAAAUAAAACAACGACCGAGAAAAAUGAAAGGAGACAACCAA